rnacentral:misc_RNA from 1 species
UCCGAGUUGACCCCGGCAGUCUCCUACGAGUCCCCGGCAUGAUCCGCUGGCAACAUAGGAUAAGGGUUGCGCUCGUUGCGGGACUUAACCCAACAUCUCACGACACGAGCUGACGACAGCCAUGCACCACCUGUGCACUGGCCCCGAAGGGAGGCGCUAUUUCUAGCGCUUUCCAGUGCAUGUCAAGCCUUGGUAAGGUUCUUCGCGUUGUACACCUGAAC